GUGCACAUUCUUGUGGGCUGAGUUCAGGGUUUGGCCACAGGCUAGUCUCCUGUCUCCACAGCUAAUAGGGGGUUUGGUGUAGGCCCUGGCAUCCCCACCAGUGGUUUGCUUUGUAAUUUUUCCCUCUUGGCCUGUGGGAGGACUGAGGCAUGGUGUCUAGAACUCCUGCGCAGCUGCAGGCCUGCUUGGAGGGUGAGGUGGCUGUUGUGGGGCAGGUGAGAGCACGCCAGGGCCAUAGCUAACCUCCAGCCUUCAUGAAGAGCCCAUGGCAACUCUGUGGGAAUCCUUCCAGCAGCCCGCUUAUGGCUGGAGACAGAGGUGUGGCUUCUAUCUAAGCUUUUCCCUCUGACUCAGUCCAGGAGGCAACUGUCUUGGGAAGCAAAUGAUAACAGCAUCUGGGAGAUUCUCUUCUGGAUGGACUAGCAGGGAAUCAGGACAUGAACUCAGUGGACUAACUGCACCGAGACUCACCUGGUCAUUACUUGAAGGUCAUUACUUAAACCUCCAUGAAUCUCCUGAUGAACUCCCUCAGAAGGUGGAAGGAGCACCUGACACCGACCCGAGAUCAGCAGCAGCUACGCCCACGCUGUGGGCAGUUAAGAGGCAGCCAGUGGUACCAGUCGUGAGCGAUCAGAUUUGAGGACUCAGGAUUCUGGUUUCCUGAGUGUCAUGGACCUGCGGGCUGCAGAAAUGACAGCGACAGGUCUUCAGGCAGGUGCCACAGCACCCACACACUGCCAGCAUUUUGUGCAAAAUACCCAAAGCCACAUCACCAGAUCUGGGCUCUCCUAGCUUCCCUUUGCUAAAAUGCUGGCCAAAGAGCUUAACGAGCCACUCAGGGGCACAAGAUAGGUGAAACCUGCAUGUUUUGUUUGUUAAACUAUUUGCCACAUGGCACAAGAAAAUAACAAAAAAUAAACAAAAGGAAUAACUGCAGCAUCAUGGUUUUGUUAAGAUGUCCCAAAGCUGAUCAGGGCUUCCUGUUGAAAUCUAAAUGAGACUCUUCCUAGGUGGCUUACAUUCAGUCAGCUGUGGCUCUGUGCAAAGAAAACCAGUUUCCCUUGCUCAGAAAUUUGGAGCCACUGAUAAGAGAAGAAAAGUGUGAUUCCACAUGGAGGGUCAUGAUACAAUCUGAUCUCUGACCCCGUGGAGGUGAAGGGGCUUGUUCUGCAUGCCAGGCUGAGGACUCUCGGGACUGAGGCAUUCAGAGUCGCAGCUUUAAAUCAUAAGGGUUCCCUGCCCAUUUCAUCACAAGUCAGCAGCAUCCAAAGAGUGGCGUUGAAGAAAAUCUCAUCACCGUGGGCUCAGUUUAGAUUGCUAGUCGGCUCAGAAAGCUACCUGCAAUUGCGUUUCCAGGAUGCACCACAAAUACUCUCCACAUGAGGGAGAACAUCAGUGGAUGAAACUCAGCAUGCUUAGUGCGGGGCCAAGUCCUCUAACAAAGGACACAGCGGUUAACCUGCAUUUCGAGGACAGGCACUGUCAAGCCCUCAUCAGGGAUCCAUCCAGAGAACUUUGGUAAUUCUUGCAAAAUCCCUGUAUCACACAAUUUCCUUCCUUAAUGUGAUGAAGUGUAACGGACACAUCUAUAAAGCUUCUUCAGUCCUGCAAUGCAUAGAUGAGCAGAAGGCCACAAAGCCAGGUCAUAGCACUCUCUACCAUCAGAAUGGAGCCUGCCUGAAUGUGAGCUCAGUGAGAGGCAGAUUCCAUUCUUGGGCCCGUCCACGGUGACUUGUCUGCUCUGCUCCAUCAUCCACUUAUUCACAAGUUCUGGGGCAACAAAGGGCACGUUUUGUUUCAUCUUGUGCCAAACCCUCGAUGUGUACUCACUCACUCUACCUCAUCUCAAGAACUUCAGGGCUGGGAGUGCAUUUGGAGAGAAGGCAUGUGCAAUAUCUGGAAGCCUUAGCACAGGUGGGUUAUACUGAUGCUCUAUAGCCAAACUAUAGGAACUUGGGUUCUAAGGCCAGCAGGCCCAGGUGUCACCCCAAUGGCUCCCUUCAACAGCAGCAUAAAUAAGUCAUGUCAGAAGAACUCACAUUAGCCAUCUCCAGGACUCAUUUCCCUCUCAACAGCAGGAGCUCCUGCAGUCAGAACAGCGGUAAUUUUCAAAUCAGGCAUGUGGUGAUGCAGCAGGAAAGUGCCUGCAUCCCAGGUGUCCCAGCAGCUUUCUGGAGACCUCUAAUACCCACAUCUGCACCACAAAACUGCACAGCAUUGAGUGAUACCAAUCUUCUUAUACAUAUAGGUAAGUGGUAAUAGAAUGCCUCAACAGCAGACCACCCAGGAACCAAAGACAUACUGGAUUUUCAAGUCAGAAGAAUGCUUAGAGAUCAUCUGACCCAAUAGCCAUAUUUUACAGUAAGAUGCAGAAGCCAGUGUCCACAGUGCUAAAGCCACUGGUCCAAGGUGAAAGAAUUUCAAACCCAUAAAUACCUCCAAGAAGCUUCCACUGGGACCCUAUGAUUUUAGUAAAAUUAUCAACAUUCAUGACCUAUGUCUACUGAUCUUAGCGUCUUCUCAGUAGGCAAUUAUUCUUUCUCACAUCAAUUUGCAGUUGCUAUAUUAUCAGCAUCCUUGGUAAAUCCAUCUUGUGUUCUGGGUGAAGACUAACAGAUUCUUCCUUCUUGGACUCUGUCAUUCACUCUCAUCCCUCAUAACAUCUGGCCACUGCUCUAAACACAGUGGCCUUUGAGAAAUGCUGCUGAAUUCUGACUAAGAAAGAGGAGAACUUUCAAAUACAAGAAAGUGAACAUUAUAGAGCUUACCACUCAAGAUGGUUUUCUACAAAUGCGGACAUGGGGCUGAUCUGCACCGUGUAAGUAUCAUUUGCCGAGUACUCAAAGAGUCCAUAGUAAGGGUUGAAGAGCUCCUGAGACAGAAGGAAGAAGAACUCCCGCGAGGGGCCACUGUAGUCCAGGCUGCAAAGAAAGCAGAGGUCCAGGAAGCUCAUUCUGUGCCCGGAGGUGGGGGGACCUGUUUGCACCCAGAUUCUAGUGUGCCCUUUCAGAGUUGGGUGCUGGGGAAAGCAGAGAGCAGCCUCUGCUCUUUGGAGUGAAUGCCAAUGGCAGCAUCAAUUUGCUGUAGAAAAUGAGGAUGCAGUAAUUGGUUUGGAGAUGUUUCUUAACCAGAUGUCCAUGAAUAAACUCUUAUGGCAGCUUUCCUUAGUGUUUUCUUUUGAUCAUCUAACACCUCUGAGCUAAAACACACAGCUGGCCCAUUGAAUACAAGGCCUUUGUUGUGGGACACAUAAAAGAAUUUCCUGCAACAGUGAAUGUGUGCAUGCAUGUGUGUGUG
rnacentral:lncRNA from 10 species